UGGCGGUUUGGCGGGGGGUGGCGGUGUCGGAGGUGAGGGGUGUCUGGAUGAGAGUGGUCGGCUCCUGGGGAAGGGGCCCUGAUCCCUACAGGGUUUGUCCUAUGGUGCUCUGCUGUGGCACAGCUGAGGGGUUUAUGAACCGCCUCCUUGUGAGCUGAAGAGGUACUUUCAACCAAAUGGUUAACAUCAAAAGUGACAACUCAUUUUGAGCACCCACCUGAAGACUUCUGGGUCCUGCAAUUCUACAGUGUGGUCUACUGUAUAUCAUACAGUCUUUCAUUUAUUCUGAGCACAGCAAUCACUGACGCCUCUUUGCAGCUACAUGCACCCAAAGCUUUUGUGAAUUCAGAGAAUGGAUUUUCUGUACCCCAGAGGAGGAAAAUUCACUGGCCAUCUUCAGAAAUUGGAUUUGAGUGACUUUCUCAAUUCCACAAAUACUUCAGCAAGAAUAUGAUCUAUUCUGUCUACAAUCACUUACAUUCAUUCCUUCUAUAACUUCCAGGCUUUGCUGCAACAAAUCAGGCAGAGUUCUGAUGAGAAAACAGUCCCAUUGACUACAUUCAUGUGAAAAAUGAGGGUGUUACAUUUUUUACUUUUACAAAUACAAGAUACAGGUCACUUUAUUUUGUUUGCAUUCUUCCACAUGAUUAAAAAGAGUUACAUUGAAGGAUGCUGUAAAAGAAGGUGCAAAUAGAAAACAAUUCCAUCACAAAGAAGGAUGAAAUGCAGUCCAGGAAAGCACAAAUAACUCUUGAAGUUACAAGGGGGAAGCUGCUAAAAAGGAACGCCCUUACCUGUUUCCAGUGACAAAGACAGGGUGUUUAUUGUUCUUAUGCCUGAGAUGACUCAAAAUGGGCACCAAAACUGUAAAAGUUACUGCCCUAAGGAAGCGGGUUUGUGGAGUCAACAACGGCUGGACAUGCCUGUGGCAUCUCAUAAGCGGCCUCUCCCAAACUGGAGAGGGGAAAAACUAGAAUGGAGAGAACCUGCAAAAAACCUGGAAAGACGACAGGAGAGUUAUGGUUCUCGUGUCAAAACUUUGCUUUCUCUGCUGCCUAUCUCUGAGAGAAUAAAGCUUUGCUUUGAAGGAGCUGCCACUGAGUCAGUUUAGUUAGCUAGUGUCACAGAACAAACUGUUGCUAAAUAGGGAUUUUCAGCUCAUGAACACAGUCUAAAAAAUGACAGAAAGCAAUGGCAUGUUUCUGUGCAGAAAGACUAAGUUAAUGAAAAUUGCCGGAGGGAUGCACUUAAGAGGAGCUACCAAGGCACCUCAUCCUGUAAUGGUGACAAGUUCCUUGAUUCAUUUCCUGAGCCAUAUCCAUUCUUGCACUUAAUGUGACGGGAAGCUAUGUAUUCUCCACUGAGGCUGGCUGCACAUUUCUUCUGAAGUAAACUUUGCAGAAGUCACCGGUGCCUUUGUUACCUCCACCUGGGCUUCUGUACUUUUCUAUUUAUGAGUCCCCUUUGAAGCGUGCCUGAAAGAUCCAGUUCCCAAGAAAGCUACUACCCACUCCCUGAGCAGUGCCGCACAGCACGAGCAUGCCGCACCAGAGACUCGGCACUGGCUUGCUGUUUACUGAUCAACUUUAAAGCCCAGAGCACUCGAGGAAAAGGUUUUCUAAGGGGCUCCUCUCCCUCUGUGCCCACUCGCUGCCUUGCUACCAGGUGGAGAGUAAUGUCUGUCUGGGAACCAAGUCUCCAUGUGUGAAAGUCAACCUGGAUGAUAAAGAAAAUGGUUUUAAAAUUUGAGUUAGAAAGCCCAGGUUAAACAAAAUCAUUUGAAUCCAUCCUUGUAAUUCUGUGUCUGAACAAAAUAAUGUAUUUUAAGCAGCACUGACUACAUGGCUUUGGGGAAAUUAAAACAAGAUAAACAAAGGUAUUAAUCUAUACUAUACUGUAUUAUCUAUACAUUUUCCCCUGGUCUAGGUAAACCCUUUUGUUCAAUAUAGGUGUUUUUCAGUACGAUUCCCUCUGCUUUUGAAUUUAUCCUGUUAUCAAUCCAUUGGAGACAAAGAGUGAUGACCCUCAGGGUACAAGGGGGCGAUGCAUUUAUUUUUACCGAGCACUUGACUCACUCACAUCUCUUCUCCUUUUAAUCCCUGUAAUUAAAAUGUCUGCCUGCCACUUCAGUACAUGCUCUAAAAUGAUUAAAAUUUGAACAUUGUAGCAAUCAUAGUUACUGCUGCUGUACAAGAGGAAGAACGAUUGAUCUAGUCCAACACAGUUAAGUAAGCUAUAGAAAGGAAACCAUUAGUUACUAAUGCAAAAUAGAAUAUAAAAGUAUUGAGUCAGAUGAAAGGAGCAUCUAAGGUAGUAUAUCCUGUCUCUGAUAAAAGCCAGUAUCAAAUGCUUAAGGGAAGAGAAUGAGAAAUCAAGCAAGUACAGAGAAGUAUGUCCUGUGGUAUGUCCACCCAGCUUCCACCUUACCACACUUUAGAGCCUUCUUGUACCAGAUCUGUCAAGUCUACCACGUUUAAUAAACCAAAAUGGAUCUGUUUUCCAGAACUUCCAAGUCUGGCUCUUCUAAACUAUUCUUUGAAGCUAUUUAGACUUUUGCUCCCCCAAACAUCCUGUGGACAUGUGUUCCACAGUUUUAUUAUGCGUUGUGUGGAAGAAACCCCACUUCAUUAUGUUUAUUUUAAGCCUCCUAACUACUAGUUUGCAUUCAGAGCCAAUGAGGCAUGCCCAAGCUAGUCUAAAAGAAGCCUUGAACAACAUCUCCAUCCCUUUCUGUUUUAUUAAUUCCCCCAUCUUCCUUUUUUUCUCUCUCAUUCCCACUUUCUUUUAUCCUCAUAUUAUCUCUGGAGGGUGUUACAAGCUAUGCAGACAUCUGAUUUACAAAUGCAUGCCUAUUACAUACCAAAAUUCAAAUGACCAAAAGCACAGCAGUCCUUCAGAGACACGCUCUUCCACGACGAUGUCACUUGCUUGUAAUUUUAGUCUUAAACUUUGGCACCUCGGUUCCUUUCUGAGCUCCCGAGUGACGGUGACCUGGUUUUCGGAGGUGCUUAGCACCCACCACCUCCCGGGGGGAGCUGCAGGCACUCCACGCGCACAAGAGAACACUUUUAUGCAAAGCAUCCGCCUGGCUCUGGGCACUCAAGUAUGAAAUUGUUAUUCUGGAUUCAGCUUCACAGUGUAGUGACACAGGAAAUCGUCAGCCCCAGAGUGAAAUUAAGAACCUUAGGACUGGCAGUGCAACCCUUACUUAUGGUGAUAUAAGGUAAGCAGUCCUCUUGAAUUAAAUAUUACUAAAUGUGAGUCUUCCCAUUUUUUCAGGAUCAGUGGCAAAUGCUACAGAGGACAGUCAUCUUACAGACUUUCUGUAGUAUAAAUGUAUGGAUCAUUGCUAUAUCAGCAGUCCUGCCUGGACAUCUGAUUUUCAGCUUUAUAUCUGUUUCCACAGUAAAACACACCAAAACUUUAACUUACAUGUUCACCUGCACAAUCAUCCAAUAGAUACACUUUCCAUCUGCCCUAUAUUUUUUCCUCUUUCUCUGUUCCUCUCUCACUCUUGGAAUUUGCUCAGACCUAUUCUCUAGCCAAAAGUCUCUUUUUUUUCCCCUUCAGUGUACUCCUCUUUGCAUUUCUUUUUGCUUUCUCACCACCUUUCUAUGUGUCAGCCUUGUUCCAGUUCUUCUCCCCAAUGGCAUUCAGAACUCCUGCUACUUUCAUACACUCUCACCAUUUUAAGCCGCUUUCCCACAUGCUCUCUUUCACGGAACACCUUCCUUCCACUGAUUUCCGAAGCACAGAUGCUUGUUCGC